rnacentral:rRNA from 1 species
GACGAACGCUGGCGGCGUGCCUAACACAUGCAAGUUGAGCGCUGACGGUUUGUACUUUUACCCACUGGAUGAGCAGCGAACGGGUGAGUAACGCGCGGGGCAUCUUCCUUUGAUUGGUGGACAACAUUUGGAAACGACUUCUAAUACUGCAUCAAACCUUUAAACACAAGUUUUAAGUUUGCAAGAUGCAAUUGCCUCUCUCAUAGAUGAUUCCGCGUUGUAUUAGCUAGUUGGUGAGGUAAAGGCUCACCAAGGCGAUGAUACAUAGCCUACCUGAGAGGGUGAUCGGGCACAAUGGGACUGAGAAAAGGGCCAAACUCCUAAGGGAGGGAGCAGUAGGGAAUCGUCGGCAAUGGACGAAAGGCUGACCGAGCAACGCCGCGGGAGGGAAGAAGGUUUUCGGAGCGGAAAACUCUGUUGGUAGAGAAGAAAGUGGGGGAGAGUGGAAAGCUCAUCAAGUGACGGUAACUACCCAGAAAGGGACGGCUAACUACGUG